UCCUACUGAAGAGGCUUCAGCCUUUGUAGA
rnacentral:piRNA from 1 species